rnacentral:lncRNA from 1 species
GUCUAUGAACCCCCAAAACCCUAAAUUUUUACCACCACUUUUUGCCUCCAUACCUUGCCACCAAAGUCACUACUUUAGCUAAAUUUUAACUAAAAUUUGCCCUAAUCCAUCACUAUAUAAACCUCUUAACACCUUCAUAAUUUUCACAACACCUAAACAAUUAGCCUUCAACCUAAACCUACAUAUUUUUCUUCUCCUAGCCAUCGGCCUCAAGUCUCAAGAGCUUCUCCCCAAUUUCUUUUCUUUCUUGUCGCAUACCCCUACUAGCGUCACCGCAAGCCCUUCAUCGUAGCACCCUUUCC